rnacentral:rRNA from 1 species
AACAGGAUUAGAUACCCUGGUAGUCCACGCCCUAAACGAUGUCAACUAGGUGUUGGAAGGGUUAAACCUUUUAGUACCGCAGCUAACGCGUGAAGUUGACCGCCUGGGGAGUACGGCCGCAAGGUUAAAACUCAAAGGAAUUGACGGGGACCCGCACAAGCGGUGGAUGAUGUGGAUUAAUUCGAUGCAACGCGAAAAACCUUACCUACCCUUGACAUGCCAGGAACUUUCCAGAGAUGGAUUGGUGCCCGAAAGGGAGCCUGGACACAGGUGCUGCAUGGCUGUCGUCAGCUCGUGUCGUGAGAUGUUGGGUUAAGUCCCGCAACGAGCGCAACCCUUGUCAUUAAUUGCCAUCAUUCAGUUGGGCACUUUAAUGAGACUGCCGGUGACAAACCGGAGGAAGGUGGGGAUGACGUCAAGUCCUCAUGGCCCUUAUGGGUAGGGCUUCACACGUCAUACAAUGGUCGGUACAGAGGGUUGCCAAGCCGCGAGGUGGAGCCAAUCCCAGAAAGCCGAUCGUAGUCCGGAUCGCAGUCUGCAACUCGACUGCGUGAAGUCGGAAUCGCUAGUAAUCGCGGAUCAGCAUGUCGCGGUGAAUACGUUCCCGGGUCUUGUACACACCGCCCGUCACACCAUGGGAGUGGGUUCUACCAGAAGUAG